AGCAGGCCAUUCUGCUAUUGGGUUAGGUUCACUUGCAAACACACGGAGGCUUAGGUCCAGCGGCUGUGACGCUUCGGAAUUAAGCACUCCGACCACCGCCUGUGUUACUCUUCAGUUUUCGGAUUACAUCUCCUUUAAUCCUAGCAUUUACAUCGUACUCACUACUCCACUCUCUCGCAUCUGAACGGCCUCAUCAUCAUCCGUCGAUAAAUGCUCCUUGCCUGCUAUGAACGGCCUCACUGCUAUGAAAUCCCAAAAGUCUCUCUCUCUCUCUCUCUCUCUCUCUCUCUCUCUGGUUUCUCCAACUUCAUUUGUGAUCUUGCUUUUUAUUUUCGUUUGAUCCAGAGCUCGAUUUGGUUUUCAUUCUUUAAUUCUCCAUCUAGAUUUCAGUUACCGAAACACCAUAGCAGGUUAGUGUUUUCUUGGUUGUGUGUUUAGAAGUGAUCUGAUAACUACGUGACGUUUUGGAUUCUCAAAAAGAACAAGUUGUAGCAGGGACGAUGCAUCAUCUGACCCUAGAGAUAUUGAGUCUGUGAAGAAGAAGCUUUACCUAGCUUGGAAGCCAUCAUCUGCUUCAAGCUUUCUCUUGGUACCUAAAGCUCCGAUUUUGAAUGAAUUGUGAAGCUUCAAAUUCGUUUAUAAGACACAUGAGCUGGUGCUUUCAGGUCAGGCCUGCGGUGGAGACUGUCUUUGAAAACCUUCUACUUCAGCUACUGUUAGCGAAGAAGAUACCAUCUAUUCGAAAAUUCCAUAGGGAUUGAAUGUUGAUGGAGUAUUGGAGAGCUGGGGAAAGAUUAAGCCGGUAUCAUGGAAGCUUGGGAUGAAGAAGUUAGAGAUGAUUGGACUAAAAAGGACUUGACAAUUUGGUUUGGUGUCAAUAGGUAUGCCUUCAAGAUCAAUUCCGAGAGAACACAAGUUUAGAGACCUAUAUUGUCGAAACAACAUGUUCAUAUAGUCAAAGUUCCAUCUUCUUUUGCAUUUUACCUUCAUAGCUUUGAUAUAUAUUCUACUAUACUUGCAGAUUCUAUCCAUAAGUUUCAGAUACUGAAAUUUGCUAGCUCAGAGCUUUAUGUUGUUACCACAAAACAGGUGAUGUAAUGCUUUAAACUGUCUAGACUUGCAUACUUGUGUCGCUUUUUAUAGCUGAACUUUGUAGUAUGCGUGGAGAAACUGCAGAGCUGGUAUGCAGAAGCGUUGUAAUUAUUGGACUCAGAUGAUGGUGAGGAUGACUCAGAAAAAAAGAAGGAAACAAACAUCUUAAAGGAAUAAAAAGGAUGGAACCACCGAGCAAGGGGCCAAAUGGUGGAGCAGUGAAUAAGAACAAGACAAUUGUGUCAAAGAAACGAAAGCUGCAAGUCAGCAUAAGCUGUUAGAAGAGAAUAAGUGGCAUAAGUGUGGCAGUGUUCAUCCUCCGAAAAGAAACUAGAGAACGGCCAAGUCACAUUUUUCAUAUAAAGUUUUAAUAGUUUUUCUUAUUGGUGAAUGGUUGAGUGGGUGAGUAUUUGGGUUCCUAAAAUUUUGAAUUGUUAAAUCAUUCAAAUCUAUGUUAUGUUGUCGUUUGGGAUGUUAAUUGUUUUUAAUGAAUUUUUAUUUUUGGUUUUUAAA